UUUAUAAAAAACUUUGUAAAGCAUUUUGUAUCCAUACUAAUAUAAAUCCCAAAGCCAUGGACACACAGUCCACGGUCAGGCUUAUUUUUAUUUCCCAGUCAGCCCCGGACAUCAAAAAGCGGUUGCAGCAGCUUAAGAGUGCUAAAAAAAAAUCCCUAAAAAAACUAGUAAGCGUAGCCACCCGAGUAUAUCAUACAAAAAAAAAAGUUCAAAAGACCAAACAGGUAAGAAUGCUAGCAGCCCUUGUAAACACUAAAAAUAAAAAACAAAAAAAAAAACAAAAACCCCCCAAGUAGCAACCAAAAUCAAAUUAUAAAAAAAACCCAAAACAUGCCAAUAAUAUAUGUAACUACUGUAAGCAGCUUGGCCACUGGAAGAGAGAGUGUCCGAACAGACCUACUGGACGACAACCCCGUCGCCCAAACCGACCUCAACAACAAAUGGCUGUGACAAGAACAGACGCUGUUGCUAAUAAAAAAUGACGGCAACCAGGGGGUCCUCUUGUCACCUAUUCAAAUAAUUUUACCACUUAUGUUUGUUCCUCCACAGACCCCCAAGUUCGCCUAACAUUGGGAGGAACCACCUAUUCUUGUCUUUUAGAUUCAAGAGCUGCACUUUCUACUGUUACUGCCAAGCCAAAAAAAAAGCCUUACAGAUAAGAGCAUUCCAGUAAUAAGUAUAAGCAGAAAGCCAUUUAACUGUUCUGUAUUACAGGAGGCUGCUGUAAAAAUCUCUAGUGUCUCCUCCUCCCAUGCCUUUCUGCUAGCCCCGGAUUCCCCAGUUAACCUCUUAGGCAGAGAUCUGUUGUGUAAACUACGUGCUCAGAUUUUCUUUUCAGAUAACAAAAUCAUUCUUCGGUUGCCUCAAACCCAACUUCCCCAGCUAUGUGCUGUUCUAACCCAAGUUUCAAAGAACCCGAUCCUGCCUGCGGACCAAAUCUUACCCGAGCGACUCAGACAGGAAGUAUGCGGCUCAAUUUCAGUCCCUACCCGCUGAUGUUCCUGCCCACCGGAUCGCUCCAGAAGACUAAGUCUAUGUAAAAAAGUA